rnacentral:rRNA from 1 species
AGCAGCCGCGGUAAUUCCAGCUCCAAUAGCGUAUAUUAAAGUUGUUGCAGUUAAAAAGCUCGUAGUUGAAUUUCGAGAUCAAAUUGUUGGUCGUGCCUUGGUACGCACUGGCAUUAUUGGUUUCUCCCUUCUGACGAACCAUGAUGUCAUUAAUUUGGUGUCUUGGGGAAUCAGGACUGUUACUUUGAAAAAAUUAGAGUGUUUAAAGCAGGCUCACGCUUGAAUACAUUAGCAUGGAAUAAUGAAAUAGGACGUUUGAUUCUAUUUUGUUGGUUUCUAGGAUCGACGUAAUGAUUAAUAGGGAUAGUUGGGGGCAUUAGUAUUCAAUUGUCAGAGGUGAAAUUCUUGGAUUUAUUGAAGACUAACUACUGCGAAAGCAUUUGCCAAGGAUGUUUUCAUUAAUCAAGAACGAAAGUUAGGGGAUCGAAGACGAUCAGAUACCGUCGUAGUCUUAACCAUAAACUAUGCCGACUAGGGAUCGGAUGAUGUAAUUUUUAAUGACUCAUUC